rnacentral:snoRNA from 14 species
GGGUUAUCUCUAAAGGGAUUUAUAGGGAUUUAGAACCAUGAUUUCUUAAUGUUAUGGCCAAAACUCUAUGCUCUCUUUAAAAUGUUAUAGUUACCCAACUGUGUUAAAUAAAAGAUAUAACC